rnacentral:rRNA from 1 species
UACGAAGGGUGCAAGCGUUACUCGGAAUUACUGGGCGUAAAGCGUGCGUAGGUGGUUCGUUAAGUCUGAUGUGAAAGCCCGGGGCUCAACCUGGGAAUGGCAUUGGAAACUGGCGACCUAGAGUGCGGUAGAGGGUAGUGGAAUUCCCGGUGUAGCAGUGAAAUGCGUAGAGAUCGGGAGGAACAUCUGUGGCGAAGGCGACUGCCUGGACCAGCACUGACACUGAGGCACGAAAGCGUGGGGAGCAAACAGG